AACCUAGCACACCUGCGGUGUGUACCUGCGGAAGGAUCAUUACCGAGUUUACAACUCCCAAACCCAUGUGAACAUACCUAUCGUUGCUUCGGCGGAUCGCCCCGGGCGCCUUGCGUGCCCCGGAUCCAGGCGGCCGCCGGGGGACCUUAACUCUUGUUUUUACUGAGAAUCUUCUGAGUCGUUUUUACAAAUAAAUAAAAACUUUCAGCAAUGGAUCU
rnacentral:misc_RNA from 1 species